GAUGAAGAACGCAGCGAAAUGCGAUACGUAAUGUGAAUUGCAGAAUUCAGUGAAUCAUCGAAUCUUUUAACGCAUAUUGCGCUCUCUGGUAUUCCGGAGAGCAUGCUUGUUUGAGUAUCAGUAAACACCUCAACUUCCAUAUCUUUUUUGAAAUGGGAGUUGGACUUGAGUGAUCCCAACGCUUUUCCUCACCGAAAAGUGGCGGGUUACUUGAAAUGCAGGUGCAGCUGGACUUUUCUCUGAGCUAUAAGCAUAUCUAUUUAGUCUGCCUAAAAAACAGAUUAUUACCUUUGCUGCAGCUAACAUAAAGGAGAUUAGUUCUUGUGCUGACUGAUGCAGGAUUCACAAAGACAGGCUUCGGCCGACUUUGUAAACUCGAUCUCAAAUCAAGUAAGACUACCCGCUGAACUUAAGCAUAUCAAUAAGCGGAGGA
rnacentral:misc_RNA from 1 species